GCGCACUGUGUACAAACAGAGGCGGCGUGCGUAGAAGAAAUGGGGCAAGUUUGGGAACGGUGCAAGAACACAAAGGCAAGGACAGACUCUUGAAGCAUCACUAAGAAUGAUUGCUUACUGUACAUGGAUCCAAUUCCAGCAGUUACAGGUACCAAAAUGAAACAGGCCUUCUUUUUUCUUUUUUUUUUUUUUUUUUUUUUUUUUGGUCUCCUAGAGAGGGAGGUAGGGAGAAACACAGAAACACAGAGCUAGAGAAAUUGAAAGAGAAACAUUCUGGAAGGCAAAGAGUUGAAAGGUGAAUCUACUAAGAAAAGAAUAACAGAGUGCAAUUAGCAAUGAAACUGUAUCUCCGUCUGCCUCCUUAGCCUUUGGGAGGAAUUGGGCCAUGAGAAGAGCCUUCAUGAAUGGGAUUAGUUCGCUUAUAAGAAGAGACACCAAAGAAGUGAUCUUUCUCUGCCUUCUGCUACGUGAGGACAAGGUAAGAAGACAGCUAUGAACCAAGAAGCAGGCCCUUACCAGACACCAAAUCUGCUGGUUCAUUGAUCUUGGACUUCUCAGCCCCCAGGACUGUGAGAAAUAAAUGUUUAUUGUUGAAGCCA
rnacentral:antisense_RNA from 1 species